rnacentral:rRNA from 1 species
AGUGAACGCUGGCGGUAGGCCUAACACAUGCAAGUCGAACGGCAGCACAGUAAGAGCUUGCUCUUACGGGUGGCGAGUGGCGGACGGGUGAGGAAUACAUCGGAAUCUACUUUUUCGUGGGGGAUAACGUAGGGAAACUUACGCUAAUACCGCAUACGACCUACGGGUGAAAGCAGGGGAUCUUCGGACCUUGCGCGAUUGAAUGAGCCGAUGUCGGAUUAGCUAGUUGGCGGGGUAAAGGCCCACCAAGGCGACGAUCCGUAGCUGGUCUGAGAGGAUGAUCAGCGACACGGGAACUGAGACACGGUCCAGACUACUACGGGAGGGAGCAGUGGGGAAUAUUGGACAAUGGGCGAAAGCCUGAUCCAGCCAUACCGAGUGGGUGAAGAAGGCCUUCGGGUUGUAAAGCCCUUUUGUUGGGAAAGAAAAGAAGCAGGUUAAUACCCCGCUGUUCUGACGGUACCCAAAGAAUAAGCACCGGCUAACUUCGUG